rnacentral:rRNA from 1 species
GCCAGUAGCCAUAUCACCCUACAACUCACAACUGGCAACCCACUGAAGCUCAGCAGUAUGAGCCUGGUCAGUAGCUGGAUGGGAGACCUCCUGGGAAAGCUAAGGUUGCUGCUGGAA